rnacentral:lncRNA from 1 species
AUUUUAUUUUGAGAAACGAUGUGGUAUAAUGAUGUGCGAUGUUUUACUUGAGUGGACAUAAACACCAUUUAGGUAUGCCUUGAAUAGAGGGGAUUAUUAGAAACCAGGAAUCACAAAAGGUCAUUAGCUAGCACAAUAACGUCUCCAUGAAUAGACGGGAUUAUAGUUAACAUAUUAUCACAAAAGGUCAUUAGCUAGCCCAAUAACGUCUUCAUCCACUAGUUGUACUCUAAUACCCUCUCAUGCGAAUACAAUGCCCUCAAUAUCAUAGAAACACUAUUUUUGUGUGGUGUUUUACUUGAGUGGACAUAAACACCAUCUAAGGAUGCCAUGAAUAGACGGGAUUAUUGGAAACCAGGUAUCACAAAAGGUCAUUAGCUAGCCCAAUAACGUCUUCAUCCACUAGUUGUACUCUAAUACCCUCUAGUGUGAAUACAAUGCCCACAAUAUCAUAGAAACGUCAUUUGAGGUUUAAAAGGUGAUCUAUUGUUUUGAAUUCUUUAUAUUCCAACUUUUUAGCAACUGUAUGGUGGAAACCUGUUAUCACAAAAGGUCAUUAGCUAGCCCAAUAAUGUCUUCAUCCACUAGUUGUACUCUAAUACCCUCUCGUGCGAAUACAAUGCCCUCAAUAUCAUAGAAACACUAUUUUUGUGUGGUGUUUUACUUGAGUGGACAUAAACACCAUCUAAGGAUGCCAUGAAUAGACGGGAUUAUUGGAAACCAGGUAUCACAAAAGGUCAUUAGCUAGCCCAAUAACGUCUUCAUCCACUAGUUGUACUCUAAUACCCUCUAGUGUGAAUACAAUGCCCACAAUAUCAUAGAAACAUCAUUUGAGGUUUAAAAGGUGAUCUAAUGUUUUGAAUUCUUUAUAUUCCAACUUUUUAGCAACUGUAUAGUGGAAAAAGGUGUCUUACAACCUUAACCUAUGUUUGGACAGUUCUCUCGUGCAAUUUGGCUAAAUUUCCCAUGGUCUUUAUUUUAUUUUGAGAAACGAUGUGGUAUAAUGAUGUGCGAUGUUUUACUUGAGUGGACAUAAACACCAUUUAGGUAUACCUUGAAUAGAGGGGAUUAUUGGAAACCUGGUAUCACAAAAGGUCAUUAGCUAGCCCAAUAACGUCUUCAUCCACUAGUUAUACUCUAAUACCCUCUAGUGUGAAUACAAAUGCCCACAAUAUCAUAGAAACGUCAUUUGAGGUUUAAAAGGUGAUCUAUUGUUUUGAAUUCUUUAUAUUCCAACUUUUUAGCAACUGUACGGUGGAAACCAUGUAUCACAAAAGGUCAUUAGCUAGCCCAAUAACGUCUUCAUCCACUAGUUGUACUCUAAUACCCUCUAGUGUGAAUACAAUGCCCACAAUAUCAUAGAAACGUCAUUUGAGGUUUAAAAGGUGAUCUAUUGUUUUGAAUUCUUUAUAUUCCAACUUUUUAGCAACUGUAUGGUGGAAAAAAGUUGUCUUACAACCUUAACCUAUGUUUGGACAGUUCACUCACGCAAUUUGGCUAAAUUUUCCAUAGUCUUUAUUUUAUUUUGAGAAAUGAUGUGGUAUAUUGAUGUGUGGUGUUUUACUUGAGUGGACAUAAACACAAUCUAAGGAUGCCAUGAAUAGAUGGGAUUAUAGUUAACAUAUUAUCACAAAAGGUCAUUAGCUAGCCCACUAAUGUCUUCAUCCACUAGUUAUACUCUAAUACCCUCUCGUGCGAAUACAAUGCCCUCGAUAUCAUAGAAACACUAUUUUUGUGUGGUGUUUUACUUGAGUGGACAUAAACACCAUCUAUGGAUGCCAUGAAUAGACGGGAUUAUAGGAAACCAGGUAUCACAAAAGGUCAUUAGCUAGCCCAAUAACGUCUUCAUCCACUAGUUGUACUCUAAUACCCUCUCGUGCGAAUACAAUAUCCUCAAUAUCAUAGAAACACUAUUUUUGUGUGGUGUUUUACUUG